CCAAUAGCGUAUAUUAAAGUUGUUGCAGUUAAAAAGCUCGUAGUUGAAUUUCGGGAUCAUCAGGUUGGUCGUGCCUUUGGUAUGUACUUUCCUCGAUGGUUCCUCCUUCUUGAAGAUCCGUAAUGCCAUUAAUUUGGUGUUGCGGGGAAUCAGGACUGUUACUUUGAAAAAAUUAGAGUGUUUAAAGCAGGCAAUCGCUUGAAUACAUUAGCAUGGAAUAAUGAAAUAGGACGUUCGAUCCUAUUUUGUUGGUUUCUAGGAUUGACGUAAUGAUUAAUAGGGAUAGUUGGGGGCAUUAGUAUUCAAUUGUCAGAGGUGAAAUUCUUGGAUUUAUUGAAGACUAACUACUGCGAAAGCAUUUGCCAAGGAUGUUUUUAUUAAUCAAGAACGAAAGUUAGGGGAUCGAAGACGAUCAGAUACCGUCGUAGUCUUAACCAUAAACUAUGCCGACUAGGGAUCGGAUGAUGUUAAUUUUUUAAUGACUCAUUCGGCGCCUUACG
rnacentral:rRNA from 1 species